AUGGCGGCGGCUCUUCGAUUUGCUGCGAGAAAGAUCUGCGGUCGCGCCCUUCAGCGACCACUGCAGCCGUAUCUUACGGCGGCCGCCGAAGCUGCCAUCAAAGAGGACAAGCGGCAGCUGUUGCGCCAUGGCGCGGCCUAUCUUCGCAGGUUCUCCAGCGAAUCGCAAAAUCUUUUCAAGAACAAGCUUGGAGCCAUGUCCGGGGCAAAUCCUGCGGCGGCUUCUCCACUAAUCAAUAAUGCACAAGCCACAUCUCCUCCACCAAUAUGGUCGCCUAGGAACAAAAUGUUCUUACCCCUUGCUGCUGUGUACGUAACGGCCUUAUGUGCAGGAAUCUCUGGAAUACUUUACUAUUGUACUCCCUCCGUCCGGAAAUACUUGUCAUCAAAAUGGAUGAAAAUGGAUGUAUCUAGAACUAAAAUACAUCUAGAUACAUCCAUUUCAAUGACAAGUAUUUUCGGACGGAGGGAGUACCCAUGA
rnacentral:rRNA from 1 species